rnacentral:rRNA from 1 species
AUUGAACGCUGGCGGAAUGCUUUACACAUGCAAGUCGAACGGCAGCACGGACUUCGGUCUGGUGGCGAGUGGCGAACGGGUGAGUAACAUAUCGGAACGUAUCCAAUAAUGGGGGAUAACGAGUCGAAAGAUUGGCUAAUACCGCAUACGCCCUACGGGGGAAAGCUGGGGACCUUCGGGCCUGGCGUUGAUGGAGCGGCCGAUAUCUGAUUAGCUAGUUGGUGAGGUAAAGGCUCACCAGGGCGACGAUCAGUAGCUGGUCUGAGAGGACGACCAGCCACGCUGGAACUGAGACACGGUCCAGACUCCUACGGGAGGCAGCAGUGGGGAAUUUUGGACAAUGGGCGCAAGCCUGAUCCAGCCAUUCCGCGUGAGUGAAGAAGGCCUUCGGGUUGUAAAGCUCUUUCGCAAGGGAAGAAAACUUAGCCACUAACAUUGGUUGAGGCUGACGGUACCUUGAUAAGAAGCACCGGCUAACUACGUGCCAGCCGCCGCCGUAA